UACGAAGGGGGCUAGCGUUGUUCGGAAUUACUGGGCGUAAAGCGCACGUAGGCGGAUUUGUAAGUCAGGGGUGAAAUCCCGGGGCUCAGCCUCGGAACUGCCUUUGAUACUGCAAAUCUCGAGUCCGGAAGAGGUGAGUGGAAUUCCUAGUGUAGAGGUGAAAUUCGUAGAUAUUAGGAAGAACACCAGUGGCGAAGGCGGCUCACUGGUCCGGUACUGACGCUGAGGUGCGAAAGCGUGGGGAGCAAACAGG
rnacentral:rRNA from 1 species